UACGGAGGAUGCAAGCGUUAUCCGGAAUGAUUGGGCGUAAAGCGUCCGCAGGUGGCUGUGUAAGUCUGCUGUUAAAGAGUGAGGCUCAACCUCAUAAAGGCAGUGGAAACUACAUGGCUAGAGUGCGUUCGGGGCAGAGGGAAUUCCUGGUGUAGCGGUGAAAUGCGUAGAGAUCAGGAAGAACACCGGUGGCGAAAGCGCUCUGCUAGGCCGCAACUGACACUGAGGGACGAAAGCUAGGGGAGCGAAAGGG
rnacentral:rRNA from 1 species